rnacentral:rRNA from 1 species
GACGAACGCUGGCGGCGUGCUUAACACAUGCAAGUCGAACGGGGCGAAGUGAUAGCUUGCUAUUAUGGAGCCUAGUGGCAAACGGGUGAGUAACGCGUAGGCAACCUGCCCUUCAGAUGGGGACAACACCUCGAAAGGGGUGCUAAUACCGAAUGACGUUUCUUGGUCGCAUGACCUGGAAACCAAAGGCUGGGCAACCGGUCACUGAAGGAUGGGCCUGCGUCUGAUUAGCUAGUUGGUGGGGUAACGGCCCACCAAGGCGACGAUCAGUAGCCGGUCUGAGAGGAUGAACGGCCACAUUGGGACUGAGAUACGGCCCAGACUCCUACGGGAGCAGCAGUGGGAAUAUUGGGC